AAUCAACGCUGGCGGCGUGCCUAACACAUGCAAGUCGCACGAGAAAGGGACUUCGGUCCUGAGUACAGUGGCGCACGGGUGAGUAACACGUGAAUCAUCUACCUUCGAGUGGGAAUAACUGAGAGAAAUCUUAGCUAAUACCGCAUAAUACCUACGGGUCAAAGCAGCAAUGCGCUUGAAGAGGAGUUCGCGGCAGAUUAGUUAGUUGGCAGGGUAAUGGCCUACCAAGACGAUGAUCUGUAUCCGGCCUGAGAGGGCGCACGGACACACUGGAACUGAAACACGGUCCAGACUCCUACGGGAGGCAGCAGUGGGGAAUUUUGCGCAAUGGGGGAAACCCUGACGCAGCAACGCCGCGUGGAGGAUGAAACUCCCUUGGGAUGUAAACUCCUUUCGAUCGGGAAGAUAAUGACGGUACCGAGAGAAGAACG
rnacentral:rRNA from 1 species